rnacentral:rRNA from 1 species
UUCAACUCAUCAACCCUGUGAACAUACCUAAACGUUGCUUCGGCGGGAAUAGACGGCCCCGUGAAACGGGCCGCCCCCGCCAGAGGACCCUUAACUCUGUUUCUAUAAUGUUUCUUCUGAGUAAAACAAGCAAAUAAAUUAAAACUUUCAACAACGGAUCUCUUGGCUCUGGCAUCGAUGAAGAACGCAGCGAAAUGCGAUAAGUAAUGUGAAUUGCAGAAUUCAGUGAAUCAUCGAAUCUUUGAACGCACAUUGCGCCCGCCAGUAUUCUGGCGGGCAUGCCUGUUCGAGCGUCAUUACAACCCUCAGGCCCCCGGGCCUGGCGUUGGGGAUCGGCGGAGCCUCUCUGUGGGCACACGCCGUCCCCCAAAUACAGUGGCGGUCCCGCCGCAGCUUCCAUCGCGUAGUAGCUAACACCUCGCGACUGGAGAGCGGCGCGGCCACGCCGUAAAACACCCAACUUUUCUGAAGUUGACCUCGAAUCAGGUAGGAAA